rnacentral:rRNA from 1 species
AUUGAACGCUGGCGGAAUGCUUUACACAUGCAAGUCGAACGGCAGUACGGACUUCGGUCUGGUGGCGAGUGGCGAACGGGUGAGUAAUGUAUCGGAACGUGCCCAGUCGUGGGGGAUAACGUAGUGAAAAUUACGCUAAUACCGCAUACGAUCUAUGGAUGAAAGCGGGGGAUCGCAAGACCUCGCGCGAUUGGGGCGGCCGAUAUCAGAUUAGGUAGUUGGUGGGGUAAAGGCCCACCAAGCCAACGAUCUGUAGCUUGUCUGAGAGGACGACCAGCCAAACUGGAACGGAGACACGGUCCAGAAUCCUACGGGAGGCAGCAGUGGGGAAUUUUGGACAAUGGGCGAAAGCCUGAUCCAGCCAUUCCGCGUGCAGGAUGAAGGCCCUCGGGUUGUAAACUGCUUUUGUACAGAACGAAAAGGUUUCUACUAAUACUAGGAGCUCAUGACGGUACCGUAAGAAUAAGCACCGGCUAACUACGUGCCAGCAGCCGCGGUAA